rnacentral:rRNA from 1 species
GGGUCAGUAGGUUGGUCGUGCCACCGGUACGUACUGGUCUCACUGAUUCCUCCUUCCUGAAGAACCGUAAUGCCAUUAAUUUGGUGUUGCGGGGAAACAGGACUGCUACUUUGAAAAAAUUAGAGUGUUUAGGGCAAGCUAACGCUUGAAUACAUUAGCAUGGAAUAAUGAAAUAGGACGAUCGAUCCUAUUUUGUUGGUUUCUAGGAUUGACGUA